rnacentral:rRNA from 1 species
GACGAACGCUGGCGGCGUGCUUAACACAUGCAAGUCGAACGGAAAGGCCCUGCUUUUGUGGGGUGCUCGAGUGGCGAACGGGUGAGUAACACGUGAGUAACCUGCCCUUGACUUUGGGAUAACUUCAGGAAACUGGGGCUAAUACCUGAUAGGAGCUCCUGCUGCAUGGUGGGGGUUGGAAAGUUUCGGCGGUUGGGGAUGGACUCGCGGCUUAUCAGCUUGUUGGUGGGGUAGUGGCUUACCGAGGCUUUGACGGGUAGACGGCCUGAGAGGGUGACCGGGGACAUUGGGACUGAGAUACGGGCCAGACUCCUACGGGAGGCAGAAGUGGGGAAAAUUGCACAAUGGGGGGAAGACUGAUGCAGAAAAGCCGCGUGCGGGAUGACGGCCUUCGGGUUGUAAAACGCUUUCGCAUGUGAUGAAGCGUGAGUGACGGUAAUGGGUAAAGAAGCAACGGCUAACUACGUG